rnacentral:rRNA from 1 species
GAUGAACGCUGGCGGCGUGCUUAACACAUGCAAGUCGAGCGAUGAAGUUUCUUUCGGGAAAUGGAUUAGCGGCGGACGGGUGAGUAACACGUGGGUAACCUGCCACAUAGAGUGGAAUAGCCUUUCGAAAGGAAGAUUAAUACCGCAUAAUGUUGAAAGAUGGCAUCAUCAUUCAACCAAAGGAGUAAUCCGCGAUGAGAUGGACCCGCGGCGCAUUAGCUAGUUGGUGGGGUAACGGCCUACCAAGGGGACGAUGCGUAGCCAACCUGAGAGGGUGAUCGGCCACAUUGGGUCUGAGACACGGCCCAGACUACGACGGGAGGCAGCAGUGGGGAAUAUUGCACAAUGGGGGAAACCCUGAUGCAGCAACGCCGCGUGAGUGAUGAAGGUUUUCGGAUCGUAAAGCUCUGUCUUUGGGGAAGAUAAUGACGGUACCCAAGGAGGAAGCCACGGCUAACUACGCGCCAGCAGCCGCCGUAACAC